UACGUAGGAGGCUAGUGUUAGUUAUCUUUAUUGGGUUUAAAGGGUAAGUAGACGGUAAAUUAAACUCUAAAUGAGUACUUUUUUACUAGAGUUAUAUGAGAGAAGGAAGAAUUUCUGGAGUAGAGAUAAAAUUCGAUGAUACCAGGAGGACUGUCAACGGCGAAGGCGUCCUUCUAUGUAAUAACUGACGUUGAGAGACGAAGGCUUGGGUAGCAAACAGG
rnacentral:rRNA from 1 species